GUUACACUCCCCUUAUCUCUCUCACUCUCUCUCCUCUGCCUUCCGCACAGACCCCGUUGCCUCCGCCCCGCUACGGAGUAUGGUGCCUCGAAGUCUGCCGCCGGAACCCUAACCACCAGCUAGUUCUGCACCACAGCCCCCUCGUCUCUCUCUCUUCAUCUUCUCGAUCGCACAGAGCCCUCCUUCCACCGUCUCGCGACCAUUACGGCGGUUGUUCGGCCUCUCUCUCUCUCACAGAUCGUUAUUCUCUGUCUCCUAGGGCACCUCCGUCGCCGCCGAUCUUCGGCGUCCGCUGUAUCGUCACCAGAUCUUCCCUCCAUAUCUCCAAACAGAGAAACGAUUUUAGCAGUUGAUUCAGUUGUUUUGUGAUUGAAAAUUCGCGAAAAAUGAAGGUAGAGGAAGCAAACAAAGCGGCCUCAUCACCAUCAACAACAACAACAACAACAACAACAACGACAACCGACUCAAAAACCCUAGUUGCAGUAACCAAACCCAAUCAGCAGCCGACACAUCACCAGAAUCCUCUGCUAACAGUAGAAGAAGAAGGAGACAGAUUACUGGUUUAAGUCAGAUUACGCUAGCACAGCUUAAGGACAAGGCUGUGCAGGCCGCCAAGCUCGAGUUCUGCCAAGCUCUCUCUCUCUCUCUUCUCUAUUUGUCGGCUUCCGUGAACAGCACAGAACAAGAAGUUUUGCUUUGCUUCUCAAUCGUUGUCUCAAAACUUCUCAAUCUCCUCUGGUUUUAAUUCAUCUAAAAAUCUGUAUAUUUAUGUCCCUAUACUCUAUCGAAGUUCUCUAUCUCGCUACUCAUAACUUUGCAUUAGAGAAGAUCAAAGUUUUUUGUGCAUAGAUUGAGCUUUGAAGCUUUGAUGUAUAACUAUAGGUUUUUAUGAA